GGUGGUUCUCAGGUGACGCACCCAGGAAUCGGGCUCCCUCCUUUCUGGUUCCAGGUGCGUCACCAGAGAACCGCU
rfam:Myotis brandtii contig232290, whole genome shotgun sequence.